GUGGGGAAUAUUGGGCAAUGGGCGAAAGCCUGACCCAGCAACGCCGCGUGAAGGAAGAAGGUCUUCGGAUCGUAAACUUCUAUCCUUGGUGAAGAUAAUGACGGUAGCCGAGAAGGAAGCCCCGGCUAACUACGUGCCAGCAGCCGCGGUAAUACGUAGGGGGCAAGCGUUGUCCGGAAUGAUUGGGCGUAAAGGGCGCGUAGGCGGCCUGGUAAGUCUGGAGUGAAAGUCCUGCUUUUAAGGUGGGAAUUGCUUUGGAUACUGUCGGGCUUGAGUGUAGGAGAGGUAAGUGGAAUUCCCGGUGUAGCGGUGAAAUGCGUAGAGAUCGGGAGGAACACCAGUGGCGAAGGCGACUUACUGGACUGUAACUGACGCUGAGGCGCGAAAGUGUGGGGAGCAAACAGGAUUAGAAACCCCUGUAGUCC
rnacentral:rRNA from 1 species